rnacentral:rRNA from 1 species
CCGCCCCCCUCCCCGGGGGGGUGGCCAGCGCCCGCCAGAGGACCAUCAAACUCCAGUCAGUAAACGAUGCAGUCUGAAAAACAUUUAAUAAACUAAAACUUUCAACAACGGAUCUCUUGGUUCUGGCAUCGAUGAAGAACGCAGCGAAAUGCGAUAAGUAAUGUGAAUUGCAGAAUUCAGUGAAUCAUCGAAUCUUUGAACGCACAUUGCGCCCUUUGGUAUUCCGAAGGGCAUGCCUGUUCGAGCGUCAUUACAACCCUCAAGCUCUGCUUGGUAUUGGGCACCGUCCUUUGCGGGCGCGCCUCAAAGACCUCGGCGGUGGCGUCUUGCCUCAAGCGUAGUAGAACAUACAUCUCGCUUCGGAGCGCAGGGCGUCGCCCGCCGGACGAACCUUCUGAACUUUUCUCAAGGUUGACCUCGG